rnacentral:rRNA from 1 species
CGUAGGGGGCUAGCGUUGUCCGGAAUCAUUGGGCGUAAAGCGCGCGUAGGCGGCCCGGUAAGUCCGCUCUGAAAGUCCAGGGCUCAACCCUGGAAUGCGGGUGGAUACUGCCGGGCUAGAGUCCGGAAGAGGCGAGUGGAAUUCCUGGUGUAGCGGUGGAAUGCGCAGAUAUCAGGAGGAACACCAAUAGCGAAGGCAGCUCGCUGGGACGGUACUGACGCUAAGGCGCGAAAGCGUGGGGAGCAAACAGGAUUAGAUACCCUGGUAGUCCACGCCGUAAACGAUGGGCACUAGGUGUGGGAGGUGUCGACUCCUCCCGUGCCGACGCUAACGCAUUAAGUGCCCCGCCUGGGGAGUACGGCCGCAAGGCUA